UUACGGCCACAUCAAACCGAAACACCGGAUGAUCCCCGAAGUUAAGCAAAGUCGGGCCUGGUCACUACCUAGAUGGGUGACCGCUUGGGAAUACCAAGUGCU